UCCUACGGGAGGCAGCAGUGAGGAAUAUUGGUCAAUGGGCGAGAGCCUGAACCAGCCAUCCCGCGUGCAGGAUGACGGCCCUACGGGUUGUAAACUGCUUUUAUGUACCAAGAAUAGGCGCUACGUGUAGCGUUAUGACGGUAGUACAUGAAUAAGCAUCGGCUAACUCCGUGCCAGCAGCCGCGGUAAUACGGAGGAUGCAAGCGUUAUCCGGAUUCAUUGGGUUUAAAGGGUGCGUAGGCGGUCUUAUAAGUCAGUGGUGAAAUACUGCAGCUCAACUGUAGAACUGCCAUUGAAACUGUGAGACUUGAGUGCGCCUGAGGUAGGCGGAAUGAGUAGUGUAGCGGUGAAAUGCUUAGAUAUUACUCAGAACACCGAUUGCGAAGGCAGCUUACUAAAGCGUAACUGACGCUGAUGCACGAAAGCGUGGGGAGCGAACAGGAUUAGAUACCCUGGUAGUCCAC
rnacentral:rRNA from 1 species